UGCAAAAACAUGGGUGGAGUGUUUUUAGUCAUUGUGAUUCAUUUACUAUUACCUGUCUAUAUUAUAUAAUAAUACUGUAUUAUAUACUUAAACUUGUUAGUGUAUAAAAGUAACAUACUGUAACAUUAUGUGGGUUCUGGUGGGUGGAGGAUUAGUGGUGCCACUGAAGUGUUCUGUGAUGGAGCAUCAGUGAUGAUGCAGACCCAGGUAACUGGCUGAUGGUUCACAGGAAUGCUGACUGGCUGCUGAUUGACUUGCUGCUGGUUGUCUGGGCAGUGUCACCUGUCCCUGUCUCUCCUCUCUAGCCAUGUCCUUUUUCUUCACUCUCACUUUCCCUUCUCUGAGUGUCCUCGUUCUUUUUUCCUCAACCUUUGAAACUGAUAGAGGUCUAGGGGUGCAUCGUGG